UACGUAGGGUGCAAGCGUUAAUCGGAAUUACUGGGCGUAAAGCGUGCGCAGGCGGUGAUGUAAGACAGUUGUGAAAUCCCCGGGCUCAACCCGGGAACUGCGUCCGAUACUGGGAGGCUUGAAUCCGGGAGAGGGAUGUGGAAUUCCAGGUGUAGCGGUGAAAUGCGUAGAUAUCAGGAGGAACACCGGUGGCGAAAGCGCUUGUCUGGCCCAAUACUGACGCUGAUGCGCGAAAGCUAGGGGAGCAAACGGG
rnacentral:rRNA from 1 species